UAGAGGUGUGGAGGAUGGUGAGAAAAGGUCCAGGAUUAAUUGGGAAAGAAAGACAGAAAGGGUAUUGGGGGUAGCAUUACUCUGAAGGCUGAAGCGGAGGAGGCGACAGAAGUCCAUGGGAUCAUGCAAGAGUUCUUCAUCACUUCACAUCAGAUCACAGCCUGAAACAGUGUGAGAGAGAUUCUGGUGAAGAUUCUCAAAGCCCAAAUUGAUACAGAAAAUUAAAACCUCAUCUUCUAUAACUACAUCUGAAGUGCAAAUCAACAAGAAGAGACCUAAAGACUUUAAAAUACCUUUUGGAAAAGCCCACAGCUCUGUCUCAUAUAUUUGACUCCUCAGGAAGAUGAUUUUCAGUGAAGAAAGAAGUUUGGGAAGGAAGGAAAACAAAAUUCAUUCUUGCCUUAACCCAGCUAAUGUUGUACAAAGAAAUUCAAAGGACUUUGCCAGGCACAAGAAAAGAACAGAAUACAAGAAUUCUGUCCACCAGAAGAGUGAAUUAAAGACUCGAGAGUGGAAAAUGCAGUGUUAUGCAGAUGAGGGCAGGUCUCUUCUACCAACAUGUGCCCUUACUGAGAAGGAGGUAAGGAAGCCUUCCUUUACUCUGCCAGAUAAAACAGCAGCAACCUCAUGCUCUGCAAAGAUUUUCCAGACUACAAACCAUUUUAGGAACUUGGUGAGUACUUUUACCAGCUCUGAAAACCAGCCCCUUGUAUUUCUCAAGAACACCCACCUCUCCGGCAACAGGAUGAGUCAGACAGCAUCCAGGAGCUUCAUUCCAGGAAUCUGGCCCACUCAGAAACCCAGAAAAGAAGCACAGAGAACUGACAUUUUCUUGAUAAAAGGGAAAGCACAGUGAGCAAACACUCUGGACAAAGUCUACCCUGAACAUUGAACAAAAGGCCCUAAAAUUGCCAUGGGCUUCUCGUCAACUGUUUGCCUUAAUGAACUAUACAGAUUAGUAAAAGAGACAUCUGCUCCCACUUUUCUAUUACUAAUAUCACAGCUUCCCUCAUUUAAACUGUGCAUCAGGUUUGUUUCUGAGUCAAUCCUUGUCACAACUAUGGGUUAAUUUCUGAUGUCCCAAGACAGGGCAUCCAUAUUUAUUUGUCUUAGUACCAACCAGAUAUUAAAUCCCAGGGCAAAAGCUGUAAAAACAGGAAUGGUAACAUCUUAACAUCUGUUGGAACUUCCCAAACUAAACAUGGUGAGCAAUUAUAUGGACAGCUGGCAGCUUCAGGUUCAGUCUUCCUCCAUCUGGUGGGACUGGAGGAGAGAAAACUGGAACAAUGCCAGGGUCAAGAUGCCCUAACGUAAGUGAGGAGCCUUCUACACCAAACCAACGUAAGCAUGACCUGAGGCUGACACAAGAGAAAGCUGAGCUGGUAAUUUGAGGAGAAAUGUGGGUAGUGACCACUGUCUUUCACUGGGGGACUGCCAUUUCAACUAUCCUAGUUCUCUUUGGAGUCUCUGGUGGGAAUUGAUGUCCACUGAUCAGGGCUGCAAGCAGCACAGAGCCCUUGGGGAUUUCUGUCAUGCCCAUUGCUGGAGGCAGUAUCUAGCUGAUAGUAUGCCUCCCACAAAAUAUGCUUCAGGGAAAAAAAAAAGUAUUCUGCCUCCUUCAGUCCUUUUGAGCAUGUCACUCCGUUGCUAUGUUCUCUGCACUGGGUGCCACCGAUUGCCAACACCAUUUCAACACUUCGUCUUCCCUCUGUAAAGACAGCUACCUGGCUCAGCUAAAUUAAGGACACCAGAUAAACAGAAUAAUCCUUGCGUGCAAGCUAAGAAAGCAAACGGAACAGGUGGGAAACUGCUUUCUUACUCCAAGGAAGCCAAGGGGAUUUCUGAGAUUUUCAUAUCCUGCACCAAGGAAACAGGACCUUUCAGGGAUUUUUGUGAAAAAUAAGGUACUUCUGCCCACUGCAGAGAAGCUACUAAUCCAUUGGCUCAGACACUUGCCAAGAGCUGUGGAGCAGCCAAAAUGAGUUAUCACUUUCCUUAAUUGAGAGCAGAAAGCUGAAAUCCCUUUCCCACGUAAUCACAGAGUAUCAGCUAUUCUAGGAGAAUUUGUGCUUGUUCUGUAUCCAUCAGUUCCCUUCCCUCCUCUCCAAAUUUCUAUCUGGGUAUGAGCAAUCCUUCCUGUCCAAAUCACUACAGUUUUUUUACAGAACAUGUAGGUGUAAAUAAUUAGCUUUUUCCAACAGCAGUUUCAGCAGGACAUGUCUCACUGGCCCUGGAGGUGCAGUAGCUCUUCUCCUUACCAUGGCUGCUGCUGAGCAGUUGUGUGUUGGUUUUACAUGUCUUAGUUUUUGGUGGGAAGUGAUUUUCUGUGAGAAGCUUCUGGAAGCUUCCUCCGUGCCUGGCAAAGCCAGUCCUUGGCUGGCUCUGAGAACAGACAUGCUGCUAAGCCAAUUAUAGAAUUUGGUAACGCCUCUGUAAUGACGUAUUUAAGAAGGAACUCAAAACCGUGUGCAGUUCUUCUGAGGGGUGGGGAGGCACGGCGGCCGGAGCCAUCCUGGCACUGCGAGUGUCCAUGUGGCCGGUGUGACUGUGUGGCCAGCGAGCCUUGCCUGUCGUGCCACCCUCAGCCAGGUGUGCUGCAGGCAGAAGGACAGGGGUGGCGGCAGCAGCUUCUCUCUUUCCUGCACGCUGCAUGGGGAGAGAUGUAGAAUGGUGCCAGUGCUGUGGCUGGCGGGGCCACAUGGCCUGUGGUAGAAACAUGGCAAGUGACUCCUCAGCAUGGAUCCAGAUGAGAACAACCUUUCAGCACUGUGAAACCCUACAAGGACUUUUCAAUUGACAGAACUUGAGAAUAGUACCUAUGGACGACAAUUUUCUUCCAAGCCAGAGAAUGGGAAGAGGUAAAGUCACAUGAGGAGAGCCAACAUGGCGGCACGGAGGUCAGUAAAGAAAGAGGGAGAAGAGGGAUCCAAGUGCCAAAGCUGAAAUUUUCUUCUGCAAACUGUGCUAAAAGACUAUAGUUAAAUAAGCUGUCCCCUUCGCAGCUCAUCAGAUCCCCAAAAGACAUGCAGAGGUCCAAAAGGAUGCCAAAAGGAGCUAUAAAAACCUGUACUCAGGUGGACAAGUAACUCACAGGCAAUAGUUUCAGGAAGCCUGUUUUGCCCAUGAGCCUGUUCAUGUUUGCAGAAGACUGGGUGGGGCUGCUGCUCAUGAGAAGAGAACCAAGCUGGAGAAGUUCAGAGAGAACUAUCUCCCAUAGGGGAACCUCACAGUACAACAGAAGAAAGACUUUUUCCCUAAACAAACAGAAGAAAAUUCAAAGUAAUGAACUGACUAAAACUCCUGUGUUUUGUCUUCCUGAGCUGUCAAUGGGAAAGAGGGAGGGGCUGGGAAAAAAAAGUGUUCUAGAAGUUUCUUUUAGUUCUUAUUACCCUCUUUUAAAUCUCUUAAUAAUGCAUUUUUCUUUAUACCUUUUAAAUAUGACCCUUGGUGUUUUUUUUCCUGAUCCUUAUCUCAACCCAUGAACCCUUUGGGCUUUUUCCCUUCCUCUGCUCAACUAUAGCAUGAAUGAACAGUUUUUGUAGAUGCCUGGUCUUUCAACCAUUUCAAACCAUGACAAGUUGUAACAUACUGCUGAAGGGAUUUUCCGAGAUGUCUUUCACUAGUGGCCAACUCAGAGCAAAACUCACUGUGAAAUCCUGGCCUGAACAUAGCCCAGUAUAGUUCCAUGUAUGUUUCUUUUCACCACAGCAAAUGACAGCGCAGGCAAAAUGAACUCCACCUCCAUCACUUGGAGGUUGCUUUGAGUAAGUCAGCGCUUUGCAGAGACUUCCACUUUUUUGAUUGUGCUCUCCCUCUCUCACCUCUCUGUUUCUGACAAACAAAAACUGUGAGGUGUCUGUAUGAGUUGGCAGGCUGCCUAGCUGCCCUUGUCAAAAUGGCUUGGUAAAUUUGACCUGAGUACUGAAUGUUUACACAAGGAUUGCUUCAACUUAAUGAGCUGCUUGAUACUCAGGGCAUAUAAUUUCUGUGCACUGAGAGCUUAAAUAAAGGGCCACAUUCUGAAUUUUGAAAACAGUAAAUCACCAAGAGAACCAACACGUAACACUUGAACAUAUACAAGAUUGGAACAUUGGCAUUCAUGAUGAAUAAAACCCAUGUGAUUUUAAAGAUAAAUGAGCAAAAGGGAGGUGAACAGCGCUGAGGAACAGCCUUGUGCCAUGGGCUGAUGUACUGCAAGAUCUUGCUUGCUCAGGAAGUACUGUGAUUCCUGGUCUCAGCUUAACUUUUAGUGAAAUACAGUAAACUGUAUUCACUUGGUCCUGCACUGAGGCAGACUGGCCUAGCACAUCACAAAUAUUUUUUUACCAAACUUGCAGCAAUUCACUGGAUUCCCCCCAUGUUUUGCUCACAAAAGCAGCAUAUUGUAACUCAUGAAUCAGUCUUUCAGUCCCAAAUACCAUGACAUUCAUAAAACUCUGACAAGAAGUCUUUGAGAGUGAAAACAUGCCCCUGAUGCCUCUCCCUUGAUCACCUUUUCUUUCCUUCUCAUUCCUAGGUUCUCAGUCCAAUCUGAUCUGAUAAAUUUAGGGAGCUGGGAUGUAUUCCUGGGACUUUUGCUCCAGGCACAGGCGCAAAGAGCAAACCAGCACAGCACAGGGGACCUCAACUUAGUUUUUGCCUUCUUUGCUUUAACACAUCCCUCAAACAGUGCAAAAAACUCGCUUGCCAUCCUGGCAGCUACCACUGAUACAGAACUCAGCUCCAGAACUGCUCCUGGCCCUGAUGUCUGCUGGGCAGGAAUCCCUUGGGUGAGGAGGGGACAACAGAGUGGAGCUUGGCCUCUGCCCUGCUGCCCAGACCAGGACACAAGGUACUACAGGAGCAUUAAGCCCCACAUCACCAUUACCCUGGCAUGGCUGGGUCUCAAACAGGCACAGGACAGCAGAGUUGCUGAGGGCCUCCAGGCCAGAUAUCACAUACCCUAAGCCUGGCAAGUGGGGAAAAGCUUCUCACCGAUAAACAUGCCUACGAUCAACUACUUAGGACAGCUUGUUGCCAACUGCACAGACCAUCCAGAUUUUUGAGCUACAGUAUAGUUUGUCAAGCUAACAUAUAAAGCUGGUCUGCCUUUCUGCAUGGGGGGAAAAAGAAUGUGCACUAUGAACGGUUCCUGCUGCAAUGCCAAGAAUUAUACCAAAGAAAAGAAACCUGCUCAAAGGAGUCUGCAAACCAUUUUAACCAGGAACCAAAUAGGGUGGGUUUUUUUCUUAAUGGAGUGUUAUAUUACAUUAGCAAAAGUAAUGUGA